rnacentral:rRNA from 1 species
UGCAGNUCGAGCGAAUGGAUUAAGAGCUUGCUCUUAUGNAAGUUAGCGGCGGNACGGGNUGNAGNUAACACGUGGGNUAACCUGCCCAUAAGACUGGGAUAACUCCGGGAAACCGGGGCUAAUACCGGAUAACAUUUUGAACCGCAUGGUUCGAAAUUGAAAGGCGGCUUCGGCUGUCACUUAUGGAUGGACCCGCGUCGCAUUAGCUAGUUGGUGAGGUAACGGCUCACCAAGGCAACGAUGCGUAGCCGACCUGAGAGGGUGAUCGGCCCU